rnacentral:rRNA from 1 species
UACGGAGGAUCCAAGCGUUAUCCGGAAUCAUUGGGUUUAAAGGGUCCGUAGGCGGUUUAGUAAGUCAGUGGUGAAAGCCCAUCGCUCAACGGUGGAACGGCCAUUGAUACUGCUGAACUUGAAUUACUGGGAAGUAACUAGAAUAUGUAGUGUAGCGGCGAAAUGCUUAGAUAUUACAUGGAAUACCAAUUGCGAAGGCAGGUUACUGCCAGUUUAUUGACGCUGAUGGACGAAAGCGUGGGGAGCGAACAGG